rnacentral:rRNA from 1 species
CAAUAGCGUAUAUUAAAGUUGUUGCAGUUAAAACGCUCGUAGUCGGAUUUCGGGGCGGGCCGACCGGUCUGCCGAUGGGUAUGCACUGGUCGGCGCGUCCUUCCUUCCGGAGACCGUCCCUACUCUUAACUGAGCGGGGGCGGGAGACGGGACUUUUACUUUGAAAAAAUCAGAGUGUUUCAAGCAGGCAGCUCGCUCUUGCAUGGAUUAGCAUGGGAUAAUGAAAUAGGACUUUGGUGCUAUUUUGUUGGUUUCGAACACCGAAGUAAUGAUGAGAAGGGACAGUCAGGGGCACUCGUAUUCCGCCGAGAGAGGUGAAAUUCUCAGACCAGCGGAAGACGAACCACUGCGAAAGCAUUUGCCAGGGAUGUUUUCACUGA